CAGUUCUGGCGACGUCUUCGGCAGCACCCUCGGUGACAAUGGUGGCUGUUGUCACCAUUAUUGAAUUUCUAAUAUCAAGACUGUUGUGUCUGGUCUUUGUAUAAUUCACAUAAUUGGUAAUUAUUAACUUUCUUUAUAUUUAUUUCAUGGACACCUGUUGCCUUUCAGUAUGGAACUGGAGCGAUCUGAUGUUUUUUAGCCAAGACUCUGUCAAACUCGGUGACCUGGUUGUAAAAGGGCGGGAUUUUAUAGAGGCAACCGGAGAGAACUUAGCAUCACUUUCUUGGCAGCCAAGUUAGAUUGUAUACUUGAUCUUGGACUUCCGGCGAUAUCUGUUGGGAAAGCUGUACCUGUUUGGUAGGUGUAGGUAUCUGAAUGCGUUGACAUAGUCACUCAAACAAGCAUUGUUCAAGAUCUUGAUGAUAGACGUCAGGAGCUUCCCCUGUGUAUUCUGCUUCCCCUGUGUAUUCUGAAGCAACUUCACAAGAAGCAUCAGGAAGCAUCAACAACAGAUUGAAGGGGGGAUUUUUCCGGUCGUUUGAGUCCAACUGCACUGGAAUCAGCUGAACUGUUUGUUCAUAUACCUUUUGGUGCUAGAAUGUUUAAUAAUGACAUGAUUUUAAGAAGAAAAUUAGAGGAACGGGAAUUACACCAAGCGAUCGAACUCCAAGAUAGAAGAUUAAUGAAUCUGCAGUUGGCUGAUGCAAAACACCGUCUGUUUCAACGGAGUUUAUCUCU